CGCCGCCACGGUAAUACGUAGGAGGCAAGCGUUGUCCGGAAUUAUUGGGCGUAAAGGGCUCGCAGGCGGUUUCUUAAGUCUGAUGUGAAAGCCCCCGGCUCAACCGGGGAGGGUCAUUGGAAACUGGGAAACUUGAGUGCAGAAGAGGAGAAUGGAAUUCCACGUGUAGCGGUGAAAUGCGUAGAGAUGUGGAGGAACACCAGUGGCGAAGGCGACUCUCUGGUCUGUAACUGACGCUGAGGAGCGAAAGCGUGGGGAGCGAACAGGAUUAGAUACCCCCGUAGUCCCUGUCUCUUAUACC
rnacentral:rRNA from 1 species